UCUGUGGAGCUUAAGUGGUAACUUUGACCACUGACCCACCCAAACCUUCUCAGACAAAACACCACCAAAACUGAAUAUGAUGAUUUAUUUUCUUUUUCAAUGAUCACAUUAAAGUUGCAGAAAAAGUGAAAGAACUAAACAGAGGAAGUGUUCUUACUUAACAAUUAUGAAUCCUACAGUUAAAACCCCAAAUAACCACAUUUUAUACAUAAAUUUGGCAACGCAAUUCACCAAUCUCCUAAUGUCCAAGCAUAGAAGUCACGUAGCUACAGAGUUAUACAAACAGAAGCAGAGGCUAAGUCAGUAAGCUAUAACAUAUAAAACACUGUCUUUAAUGACAUAAGUAAUGCGAUGUUCCAUUGUCCAAUAUUCUGGGACUAAGAUCUACACCAAAUGCUAACUCAUCUAGAGUUAUUCCAGUCAGAAAAUGGGACAAUGGUAACUCCACAAAAAUUACAAUCAAACAGUCCACAUAAAUAAAGUAAAGGUGUAUCACAAGCUGUGAAUGAAUGAUGUAAGAUGCAUGUAUCUGUACAAGUCGGCGAUGUUGUUUGUUCAGAUGGCCAGGCCGAAGACGCUGACGAUGCAGUACAUCAUCUUGUUCUCCCACCUAACUGUGCAGCUACCUUCAGUGGAAUUUUAC